CCUACGGGAGACAGCAGUGGGGAAUAUUGCACAAUGGGGGAAACCCUGAUGCAGCGACGCCGCGUGAGUGAAGAAGUAUUUCGGUACGUAAAGCUCUAUCAGCAGGGAAGAAAAUGACGGUACCUGACUAAGAAGCCCCGGCUAACUACGUGCCAGCAGCCGCGGUAAUACGUAGGGGGCAAGCGUUAGCCGGAUUUACUGGGUGUAAAGGGAGCGUAGACGGCAGCGCAAGUCUGGAGUGAAAUCCCAUGGCUUAACCAUGGAACUGCUUUGGAAACUGUGCAGCUAGAGUGCAGGAGAGGUAAGCGGAAUUCCUAGUGUAGCGGUGAAAUGCGUAGAUAUUAGGAGGAACACCAGUGGCGAAGGCGGCUUACUGGACUGUAACUGACGUUGAGGCUCGAAAGCGUGGGGAGCAAACAGGAUUAGAUACCCCUGUAGUC
rnacentral:rRNA from 1 species